UCCCUAACUAGAGCUAGAACCACCAAGGUUGUAAAAAUGCUCAGAAAUUAGGGAGGAUCCAGAAAGAGACUCAACAAAUGGUAAAAUAAGCUCUGACCAGCGUUUUAUGCUGACCAUCUGGACAAACAGAGAAGGUCACAACUAAGGAAGCUCCAAGAGGGAUCUGAAAUGCCUUAAACUGGCUCAGGUGCAUAUCUUUAGACCAACCCAACAGAGUCAUUAUGGACCAUUGUGGAAACGGUCUGAAAAAAAGGAUGGAAAUGAUGAAAAGAUGUAAAUGCUAAGGGCUGAAUAUUCUGGACAUACAUGAAGAAAUGGAGACCAUCUACAGAAGAUGGUGAUACACAGCAGAGUUUACUGAACGGAAGGAAUACUAUGAUUAGUCUGCUAUGGAGUGGCUGCAGCCCAAAACGGAGCAGAGACUGCACAUUUCAGAAUGGGAAUAUUCGUGCAUCACCAUAGAAGAGCCACCAAACCUCCCAAAUAAUAUCUGCCCAAAAUAGUACUUAAAGAGGAGACCUGACAUUGUUCUUUUACACUGUGAACAUAUUAGUGAAUUAUGUUGUUUUGUUCAACUAGCAAAUCCCAGAAUCAGAAUAAUACCCACCUCUUCAAAUGUUCUUGUUGCUAAGUGCUUCUACUGGCACCCCAUUCAGUGGUGUGCUCCAAAACUACAGUGCCAUAAACUUUGUAUCGGAAACAAAAUAUUAAGCCCUACCACAGUACAUUUCCAGCAACUAUAAAUGAGGGAGAAUGCUAUAGCAUUCCUUACUUGACUG